AGUUGGUGAUGAAAUCCCAUUGGUCCGUGUUUCUGAAUCAUAUGAUUUGCCUUGGCUAUUCUGAUACU
ensembl:snoRNA SNORD18 Small nucleolar RNA SNORD18